AACACCUUUUAAAAGGCAGUCCCGUGAGACUGACAAAGAGUGGCUUGAGCGAACGAUACGGCUUAUUUGCAAAACCUCUUUGUCGAAAAAUGACAAAGAGGUUUUUUUGU
rfam:Sporolactobacillus inulinus CASD NODE_245, whole genome shotgun sequence.